rnacentral:rRNA from 1 species
UACGGAGGGGGCUAGCGUUGUUCGGAAUUACUGGGCGUAAAGCGCACGUAGGCGGAUCAGUCAGUUAGGGGUGAAAUCCCAGGGCUCAACCCUGGAACUGCCUUUAAUACUGCUGGUCUGGAGUCCGAGAGAGGUGAGUGGAAUUCCGAGUGUAGAGGUGAAAUUCGUAGAUAUUCGGAGGAACACCAGUGGCGAAGGCGGCAUGCUGGCGCAUUCCUGACACUGAGGCGCGAGAGCGUGGGGAGCAAACGGG